CUCCGGAGUUUACGUGCUACAAAAGCAUUUGGAACAUAUUAGCUGCUCUCUUGUCCUGACUUGUGGCUCUUCCCAUAGGGCAGGGAAAGGUGAUUUCUAAAGUGAGAAGUGAUCAACUCUGUUGAAGCAUGGAGG